rnacentral:lncRNA from 1 species
GGCGUGCCCUCGAGGGCGGGGCGCUCCCGGGGACCUGGGGCUGCUGCUCCCCGAGCCGUGCUUUGCAGAGGCAAGCGUCUAUGAUUUAAAUGCUAGCUUUGCCGCUUACUGGCUGAAAGACUUUAAAUGACAAUAACAAAAAAUGAAGAGGAUGAUGAUGAUGAUACAAGAUACCAUUGCCCGUGUGUACCAGACAUCAUGCUAAGGUCUUUGUCACCUGGACUGGAGUGCAGUGGUGGGAUCACAACUCACUGCAGCCUCAAUGUCCCAGGCUCAAACAAUCCUCCUGCCUCAGCCUCCCGAGUAGCUGGGACU